AUUGAACGCUGGCGGCAUGCUUUACACAUGCAAGUCGAACGAGCGGCGAACGGGUGAGUAACGUAUCGGAACGUACCGAGUAGUGGGGGAUAACUGUUCGAAACGAUAGCUAAUACCGCAUACUAUUCGAUCGGCCGAUGUGUGAUUAGCUGGUUGGAGGGGUAAAGGCUCACCUAGGCGACGAUCAGUCGCGGGUCUGAGAGGAUGAUCAGCCACACUGGUACUGAGACACGGCCCAGACUCCUACGGGAGGCAGCAGUGGGGAAUUUUGGACAAUGGGCGCAAGCCUGAUCCAGCCAUGCCGGGUGUCUGAAGAAGGCCUUCGGGUUUUAAAGUACUUUUGGCGGGGAAGCGUUACCUGAAGAAUAAGCACCGGCUAACUACGUGCCAGCAGCCGCGGUAAUAC
rnacentral:rRNA from 1 species